AACGAACGCUGGCGGCAGGCCUAACACAUGCAAGUCGAGCGAAGCCUUCGGGCUUAGCGGCGGACGGGUGAGUAACGCGUGGGAACGUGCCCUUUGCUACGGAAUAGCCCCGGGAAACUGGGAGUAACACCGUAUGUGCCCUUCGGGGGAAAGAUUUAUCGGCAAAGGAUUGGCCCGCGUUGGAUUAGGUAGUUGGUGGGGUAUUGGCCUACCAAGCCGACGAUCCAUAGCUGGUUUGAGAGGAUGAUCAGCCACACUGGGACUGAGACACGGCCCAGACUCCUACGGGAGGCAGCAGUGGGGAAUCUUAGACAAUGGGGGAGACCCUGAUCUAGCCAUGCCGCGUGAUCGAUGAAGGCCUUAGGGUUGUAAAGAUCUUUCAGUGGGGAAGAUAAUGACUGUACCCACAGAAGAAGCCCCGGCUAACUCCGUGCCAGCCGCCGCGGUAAUAC
rnacentral:rRNA from 1 species